AGCGUAUAUUAAAGUUGUUGCAGUUAAAAAGCUCGUAGUUGAAUUUCGGGAUCAAUACGUCGGUCGUGCUUUCGGGUACGUACUGGCGUCAUUGGUUUCACCUUUCUGACGAACCAUGAUGUCAUUAAUUUGGUGUUAUGGGGAGUUAGGACUGUUACUUUGAAAAAAUUAGAGUGUUUAAAGCAGGCAUUAGCUUGAAUACAUUAGCAUGGAAUAAUGAAAUAGGACGUUCGAUCCUAUUUUGUUGGUUUCUAGGAUCAACGUAAUGAUUAAUAGGGAUAGUUGGGGGCAUUAGUAUUCAAUUGUCAGAGGUGAAAUUCUUGGAUUUAUUGAAGACUAACUACUGCGAAAGCGUUUGCCAAGGAUGUUUUCAUUAAUCAAGAACGAAAGUUAGGGGAUCGAAGACGAUCAGAUACCGUCGUAGUCUUAACCAUAAACUAUGCCGACUAGGGAUCGGAUGAUGUUAAUUUUUUAAUGACUC
rnacentral:rRNA from 1 species